GCCAAUGGCCGGCCAAGGGCGGGCUCCGGGGCGGGGGGGGGGGGGGUGCCGGCCGGCGCGACGGGCGGGGCUGGAGCGCGCCGCGGGCCAGUCGGGGAACUCGGCCGUGGGGGGGCUUCCAGGGUGGGGGACACCACAGGUGGGGGGGAGCUACGAGGGGAACGGGAGGACCCAGCGCAGAAGGUGGGCGGGAGUAGCGCAGACGGGGAGCGCCACAGCUUGGGCGGGGACGGACCGUCUCAGAGGGGCAGUGCUGCAGGCGGAGGGCGCCGCGCUGGUGGGAGGAUGAUCAAGGUCGGCUCGGGAGCACCCCCGGGGGAAAGAAAGGCGUGGCAGUUUCCCCAGGUUUCACCUGCGCCCUGAGGUUGUAGGAACGUGCAGCGGAUGCUCCAGCUGGUGGCAAAAGUGAGGCCUGGAAUCACCAAACCGAAAACAUUCGUACCCAGUCUCAUGGCGAAGGAUGAAGGACCAGCGGACUUUUCACAAGCUCAAUGCCAGCUACCUGCUUCGGCUAAGGUCCGUGUGUGCAGAGUUGUAGCUCAGGAGGGUCACCCACCCAUCUCUCUCCCCGAGCCGCGCCGCAGAGCCCUGACCCGUUGCUCGGUGUAUCAGAAUACCGUGUGCAGAGAUCGCCAGCGAAUGUGGGGCGACAGACACGUCUCCUUUCUUCAUCUCUUGCGGUAUAUGUUUUAAUAGUUCUUCAACCCCUGCAACUGGAUGGUUUGGGGGGGUUGUUGUUGUUGUUUUUUUCCUUUUUGUAACUUCGUCCUUGGAAGAGAAUCUCUGAUACAGAGGGGACGACUGCACGCCUCAGUUGAUGAGGGAGCAGGAGGCUGGCUGAAGACAGAGCAGAAGCUGGCGCCUUGCUCCCCCUCUCCACCCUCUCCCCUCCGUAGUAAUCUGUGUGGCAUUCCUCAGGCACCCCUGACUGCCAUAAAACAAUAAAUAGUUGACUUGCCGGGAUCGCAAUCCUGCAGAACAGGAAUCUCCAUUGCUCUACAGAUGUCCUAGAGACCUGAACAGGGAGGUUACCUUAUCAAUAGCACGAAUUUCCAGAGGCAAAUAACUCUCGGUUCCUGAAGCCCUAAUGUCUCCCUCCCCACCAUAAACUGGAGGAGGCCGAGCUAGAAGGGAAGGUAAAUGAACGCAGGAUCCUAACACCGCACCAAGAACCUCCCAACUAUCUUGAUGUUAGUGCCUGACCUAAAGACGACAUUGAUCAGGCCAUAAGGGCAAGGCCUCCCCCGCCCCCACCUUGCAGGCCCUCCCUUGCAUGUGAGAACGCUGUUGAAACCUCCCAUCCCUUCACCAGGGGCAGCAGCUCUUCCUGCCCACGGGUCCUGUCCCCGGGCUUUAAUAAACCACCACUUUGCACCAAAGAUGUCUCAAGAAUUCUUUCUUGGUCAUCG